GAGGCAAUAAUAAAAUGUCGACUAUAACCCUUAGCCUUCCAAGCUAAUGAUGCGGGUUCGAUUCCCGCUACCCGCC
rnacentral:tRNA from 1 species